rnacentral:lncRNA from 1 species
CAUUUAGUAAUUUAGACUUUGAAGCCAUUGGAAGAAUCUUAAUUAAACCUUUUUUAGGCAUGAAAAAAUAGCUAUUACAGUGCUUGCAAAACCUAUCUUUCGCUUGGCUCAUGCGUUAUUAGGAUGAUGCUUAAAUUAUUAUUUUUUAAUGUAACUGUGUCUCCUUUAUUAAGAAAUGUUGACUAGACAAGUGAUCUGUCCAAAUUUAAAACUAGAAAUAGAACCUUUAUCUCCCACCCUGUCUGAAUUAUUCUUUCCAUAUGUAGCUGCUUAGUUGUGUCUUUACCACUAAUUAACCAUGUGAACUCUAAGCAAGUUAUUUUACUUUUCUUCAUCUUUUUAUCUUUUGUAAAAUUAGGGGGUUAUUAUGAAUCAUUUCUAACAUCUCUGCUAAUGCCCCAGAUACUGUAAAUGACCCAGAAUGUAAUUGCGGGCAGUGUUAACUUAGCUUCCUAGAAGAUGGGGGAUAUGACUGGGCCUUGAAUAAAAUCCAAGAUUUGGCAGAGUAGAGAGGGAAAGAAUUCAUGAGAUGGGGAGCAGUAGAACAAAGGCUUAGGUGUGAAUAUGUGGCUGUAGUAAAGAGAAAUGGCCUGAUUAUAGCAAUUAUAUGAGGUUUAGUAGAACCAUUUAAGAAAGGUAAAGCCACUUCAUAGAAAUUAUUUUAUCCCUGAGUUGUUUGCUUGUUGCUUGGUUCUGAGGGAACUCUUUGAGUUUGGGGGACAAGAUUUUGGAAGCAAUGACUCUGGGAGCAAAUAAGUUUAACCUUGGCUACGGUAACCCAAAUUGUAUGCACUCAUCCCUUUUGUGCUUGUUUCACCUUCUAUAUGCCAAGGGACUUAGGGUGGUGACAAAAGGAACUAUGUUGUUGGUUGUCUUGGGUGGUGCUUUCUGCUUCAUCAUCCUUCUGCUUUGCUUCUAUUACAUAAUCAGAACACAUGAAGUAACUAAAUUCCGUGGACCCUUUCUCAUGGCAAGAUUCUCAUGGUUUGGGUGAGUGAUUAGCCCUCAGCCAGUGGACUCUUGACCUAUUCUGGACAAUGGAGGUCAAAGUUUGUUUGCUUGUUUGUUUUAUUUUAUUUCAAAAGCACCAGGUUGGUGAAAAAUGGACAAAGUAUACAUUCACAGUUUACACUGGAUUGAACUGAAUUGUGUUAUAUGGGGAACGUGAACAUAAUAAUGUAGAUUUUUCUUGUCCAUGAAAGAGGAAAAAUAGCUUUGUGGCAGAAAUGGAACCAGUUUUUCAUUAGUUGGGGAAGGUUAUUCAAGAAGCA